GCGGAGGGAUCAUUACAGAGUUCUAAAAAGACUCCCAAAACCAUUGUGAACGCACCGUUAGACGUUGCCUCGGCGGGCGGCCCCUCCCUGGGGCCGCUGCCUCCCUCGCGGGGGGUGCCCGCCGGCGUACCAAAACUCUUUUGUAUUUUAGUGGCCUCUCUGAGAAAACAAGCAAAUAAGUUAAAACUUUCAACAACGGAUCUCUUGGUUCUGGCAUCGAUGAAGAACGCAGCGAAAUGCGAUAAGUAAUGUGAAUUGCAGAAUUCAGUGAAUCAUCGAAUCUUUGAACGCACAUUGCGCCCGCCAGUACUCUGGCGGGCAUGCCUGUUCGAGCGUCAUUUCAACCCUCAAGCCCCGCUUGGUGUUGGGGUCCUACGGCUGCCGUAGGCCCUGAAAGCUAGUGGCGGGCUCGCUAUAACUCCGAGCGUAGUAGUAAAAUAUCUCGCUAGGGAGGUGUCGCGGGUUCCGGCCGUGAAAGCCCCAUCUUUUACACAAGGUUGACCUCGGAUCAGGUAGGAAUACCCGCUGAACUUAAGCAUAUCAAUAAGCGGAGGA
rnacentral:rRNA from 1 species